CCUGGUGACUUUUGCAAGGUGACCAGACCCGAUCCCAUCCCGAACUCGGCCGUCAAACACCUCCGCCCCAAUGGUACUGUGCCUCAAGGCCCGGGAGAGUAGGUCGUCGCCAGGC
rnacentral:rRNA from 1 species